UCCCUGGUGGUCCAGUGGUUAGAACGCUGCACUUCCAUUGCUGAGGGCCCCGGUUUGAUCCCGUCAGGGAA
rnacentral:tRNA from 1 species